rnacentral:rRNA from 1 species
AAUAAAUGUAAUUAAGAUAAAAAGAGAUUAAAUGAUAAAUCAUUAAAUUUAAAAAAUUUGGCGGUACUUAUAAUUUAGAGGAAUCUGUAUAGUAAUCGAUAAUCCACGAUAAGAAAUACUUAUUAAAAGUUUAUGUAUUGCUGUUUUAAAUAUUUAAUUGAGUUAAAUAUAAUAAAAUUUAUUAAGUUUAGUAAAAUAAUUCAAGUCAAAAUAUAGCUUUUUUAAGAUUUAAUAUGGAUUACAAUUAAUUUAAUUAUUUUUGGAUUAUAAAAUUUAAUUUUUAUAUGAAAGUGGAUUUAAAAGUAAAUUUAAUUAAUUUAUUAAAUUGAAUUAUUAAUAUAAGUAUGU